rnacentral:rRNA from 1 species
ACGAACGCUGGCGGCGUGCUUAACACAUGCAAGUCGAACGGAAAGGCCCUGCUUUUGUGGGGUGCUCGAGUGGCGAACGGGUGAGUAACACGUGAGUAACCUGCCCUUGACUUUGGGAUAACUUCAGGAAACUGGGGCUAAUACCGGAUAGGAGCUCCUGCUGCAUGGUGGGGGUUGGAAAGUUUCGGCGGUUGGGGAUGGACUCGCGGCUUAUCAGCUUGUCGGUGGGGUAGUGGCUUACCAAGGCUUUGACGGGUAGCCGGCCUGAGAGGGUGACCGGCCACAUUGGGACUGAGAUACGGCCCAGACUCCUACGGGAGGCAGCAGUGGGGAAUAUUGCACAAUGGGCGGAAGCCUGAUGCAGCAACGCCGCGUGCGGGAUGACGGCCUUCGGGUUGUAAACCGCUUUCGCCUGUGACGAAGCGUGAGUGACGGUAAUGGGUAAAGAAGCACCGGCUAACUACGUG